rnacentral:rRNA from 1 species
UACAGAGGGGGCAAGCGUUGUUCGGAAUUACUGGGCGUAAAGGGCGCGUAGGCGGCCUGCUAAGUCGAACGUGAAAUCCCUGGGCUCAACCCAGGAACUGCGUCCGAUACUGGUUGGCUUGAAUCCGGGAGAGGGAUGUGGAAUUCCAGGUGUAGCGGUGAAAUGCGUAGAUAUCAGGAGGAACACCGGUGGCGAAGGCGGGUCUCUGGGCCGUAACUGACGCUGAGGAGCGAAAGCGUGGGGAGCGAACAGG